UACGAAGGGGGCUAGCGUUGCUCGGAAUCACUGGGCGUAAAGCGCACGUAGGCGGCUUUUUAAGUCAGGGGGGAAAUCCUGGAGCUCAACUCCAGAACUGCCUUUGAUACUGGGAAGCUCGAGUCCGGGAGAGGUGAGUGGAACUCCGAGUGUAGAGGUGAAAUUCGUAGAUAUUCGGAAGAACACCAGUGGCGAAGGCGGCUCACUGGCCCGGUACUGACGCUGAGGUGCGAAAGCGUGGGGAGCAAACAGG
rnacentral:rRNA from 1 species